rnacentral:rRNA from 1 species
AUACGGAGGAUCCGAGCGUUAUCCGGAUUUAUUGGGUUUAAAGGGAGCGUAGGUGGACAGUUAAGUCAGUUGUGAAAGUUUGCGGCUCAACCGUAAAAUUGCAGUUGAUACUGGCUGUCUUGAGUACAGUAGAGGUGGGCGGAAUUCGUGGGGGAGGGGUGAAAUGCUUAGGUAUCACGAAGAACUCCGAUUGCGAAGGCAGCUCACUGGACUGCAACUGACACUGAUGCUCGAAAGUGUGGGUAUCAAACAGGAUUAGAUACCCUGGUAGUCCACACAGUAAACGAUGAAUACUCGCUGUUUGCGAUAUACAGUAAGCGGCCAAGCGAAAGCAUUAAGUAUUCCACCUGGGGAGUACGCCGGCAACGGUGAAACUCAAAUGAAUUGGCGGGG